rnacentral:lncRNA from 1 species
UGGCAUUAGACAACUUCAAUCAGGAUGGGCUGAUGGGCCAGCAUAUGUGACUCAAUGCCCCAUCCAAACAGAUCAAAGCUAUGUUUACAAUUACACAAUUAAAGGCCAAAGAGGAACACUCUUUUGGCAUGCUCAUAUAUCUUGGUUAAGAUCAACACUCUAUGGUCCACUCAUCAUACUUCCAAAGAAAAAUGAUCAAUAUCCUUUUGCUAAACCCCACAAGGAAGUUCUUAUCUUAUUUGGUAAUAAAACUAUUAAAGGGAUGAUAACCUUAAACUACCUAUCUUAAUUUUCAUAAGCUAAUUAAAAUAUAAAAUUGCUUUUAGGUGAAUGGUUCAAUGCAGAUCCUGAGGCAAUCAUAGCACAAGCUCUCCAAACUGGUGGAGGACCAAAUGUCUCUGAUGCAUACACAAUUAAUGGACUUCCAGGGCCAUUGUAUAAUUGUUCUGCUAAUGGUAUCAAGUGAUAAUCAACAUAUUUAUUGUAUAUUUUAGCAACCAAUUUGUGCAAUUCGAUACAUACAAUUUCUACUGCAACUUUACACAAUUAUUUACUUCAUAUAAAGUAAAUGAACAAUAUGAUUUAAAUGUAAAAUGUAAUUCUCUACAGAUACAUUCAAACUAAAGGUGAAGCCUGGAAAAACCUACCUUCUACGUUUGAUCAACGCUGCGCUGAAUGAUGAGUUGUUCUUCAGCAUUGCAAAUCAUACCCUCAAAGUUGUUGAAGCAGAUGCUAUUUAUGUUAAACCUUUUGAGACAAACACCAUCUAUAUUGCCCCUGGCCAAACCACUAAUGUUCUUCUCAAUACCAAGUCACACUAUCCCAAUGCGGCAUUCUUAAUGACUGCUAGACCCUAUGCCGCUGGCCCUGGACCUUUUGACAACACAACGGUCGCUGCUAUCCUUGAAUAUGAAAUCCCACCAAAUACUCAUCAUUCAGCUUCUUCACUAAAAAAGCAUCCUCUAUUCAAACCUAUUCUUCCUGCAUUUAAUGAUACAUCCUUUGCAACAAAGUUCUCCAACAAACUCCGUAGCCUAGCAAGUGCACAGUUUCCAGCUAAUGUUCCCAAGAAAAUCGAUAAACACUUUUUCUUCACAGUAGGCAUUGGUACUAACCCUUGUCAAAGCAACCAAACUUGUCAGGGACUCAAUGGAACAAUGUUUGUGGCAUCAAUGAACAAUGUAUCUUUCACAAUGCCAACUACAGCACUUCUUCAAUCCCAUUUCUUUGGACAAAACAAUGGAAUUUACACCACUGAUUUCCCAAGUAAACCUUUGAAUCCAUUCAACUAUACCGGCACGCCACCGAAUAACACUAUGGUGAGUAAUGGAACAAAGGUUGUUGUUCUUCCUUUUAACACAAGUGUGGAACUUGUGAUGCAAGACACUAGUAUUCUUGGUGCCGAAAGUCACCCUCUCCAUUUGCAUGGCUUUAACUUCUUUGUUGUUGGACAAGGAUUUGGUAACUACGAUUCAAAUAAGGAUCCACAAAAAUUUAACCUUGUUGAUCCCGUUGAAAGGAAUACAGUUGGUGUUCCAUCUGGUGGAUGGGUUGCUAUCAGAUUCCUAGCAGAUAAUCCAGGUUGGUUCCUAGAUUAUUCGUCAAACUAUCAAAAGUCAUUUUGGUUUCGAAGAAUGUUUUAGUUCACUUUCAUAAAUUAACAAAAAGAAAGCAUGCAACUAUAAAUUAACAAAAAUGUCUAAUUGUGUUUGCAGGGGUAUGGUUCAUGCAUUGUCAUUUGGAAGUACAUACAAGUUGGGGUCUUAGUAUGGCAUGGAUUGUCUUGGAUGGAAAACUCCCAAAUCAGAAGCUGCUUCCACCACCAGCUGAUCUUCCCAAGUGUUAACUUCAACAAAAAAUGACUUCAUUUGUUACUUUUAUCUUCUUUGUAUGUUAAAAAUUAACUGAACCAUUCUAACAUUAGAAACAUCACUUUGUAAUCCUGGCAAUAAAUCAAGGCAUAAUCUUCAACCUGAUAAGGGUGGCUUGAGUACCAUUAUCUUCAAAUGAGUCUAAUUUGUUGAUUAACUAAAUCACACUUUUUAAGGAUAAACAACUUGGUGAGAUAAAUUCAUAGAUUUUAAAUUUAAUUGUCAAAUUCUAAUACAAUAUACAAAUGCAAAAUAAAAAGAUAGAAAUAUAUCUCCAUUAUAUCUCUAUAUAUUGUACAAUAAUUUUUUUUUAUUAUGUUCUCGUCAUCAAAGGAAUACAAAAUUUUAAUGACAAAACAAAAUGAGUUUCGUCUUAGAGUUUCACAUAGAAAAGUUGGUGCUUGCUUGCAUAUGUUAUUGCUUUCAAGUUACAAUAUUAUUAAACGUGGAAAUGGAGACGAUCCAUUUCCAAAAUAAGUUUGUUGUGUCCUCGUCUGACUCAGAACCUGUCCUAGUAGAAAGGAAAAUUCAACAAUAUCUUAGAGUUUCGUUAGGUAUGGUGUAGACAAAAUCAAUUCAAAUUUAAAUUUAAAGAAUAAAAAAUAUAAAAAUAAUAUGACUUUGGAUUAUGGAUAGUUGUUCAAAAAACAAAACUUUAGGGUAUAGGAAUGGUUCAAAACUAAUGAAUGCCAAAUCAGAUAGCAAAAGCAACCUCAACUCACACAUGGUCACUCUGAUAUACCAUUUGUAGCAUUGUAAUAAUUUCAUAAUAUUGGUAUCAAUACAAGGAGAAUUUGCACUAUUAACAAUUUAUUGUUAUUGAACAUGACAGAAAACACGAGUAAAGAAUCACAGAUGCGCAAUGUUAAACUAGAAUUUCCUAAUUUCAACGGCCAAAAUGUGUUAGAAUGGAUUUUCAAGGCGGAACAAUUUUUCGAUUACUAUAAGGUUCCAGAAGCAGAGAAACUUACUGUGGCAGAAAUGCAUUUAGAUCAGGUGAUUAAUCCUUGGUUUGAAAUGAGCCAACCAUUCCUUACUUGGAGCGACAUGAGUGAUGCUCUUGAAUGUGAUUUCGGUCCAAUCUGUGCUUGUGCUUCUCUGAUUAAAUUGUAGAAUCACAUAGCCAUGCAUUGUUUUUUUUAAUAAUGUUGCUAUCAUGUUUUGGGAUUUACGAAGCAAUGACACAAACAUGUAAGGUGGGCACAAUGAUAAUGUAAAAAUUGAACUGAUUGAAUGAAUGGGAUUAGGACCUUGGAAGGGAAUUGGAAAAGAAAACUUUAUCGAAAAGUGUUACAUCUCUAGCAAACAAUCCAAGUAGGACUGGACUUUGCCCACAAUUUUUCCUCCCAUUCUUUUGAGCUAUUUGAUCAUUAUGGACAUGAAGUUCAACAUUAAUAAGAAACUACUAAUAUUCUUAACAAAAUGGGAUUCCAUACCGAAAUUCAAGUGAUUAGUAAUUGCAGUGGUUGAUAGUAAGUUUAGGGAUGAAAACUCAAAUGACAUAUAUUUGCAGGGACUAUUUGCAUAAAAAAAAAGAUACGCAACUUUUCUUUUAAGGAUUAGCAACUUGUUAGGUUAAUUCAUAUAUUUUAGAGCAUUGCUAAAUCACACGACAAAUCCAUGCACACGUCCAGCACGAUAUUGUUUAGUGGAAAUACACGGUCGUGCAUAUCCCACGACAAAGCAAGUCGUGUAUUCAAGCAUUUCUCUAUAUUUUAAAUCCAUAUGUACACUAUCUCUUGCAGUCUCUUUUUGCAGUUUUAAGAGCAAAACUCUCGUUACUUUCUGUCUAAAUUAGACUUUCCAGUUUUUAUUGUUAAGCGAUAAUAACACACGGAAGACCUUGUUAUAGUGCUAAAAGUAAUUACUACAUUACAUCCAAGUUUUUAAUUGAUCCAAAGAGGAGCAAUAAAUGGAAAUUUUGUGUAACAGAAAACUUGCCACAUGAGAAAAAUAGUAGUAGUCAGUCGUUAGAAAUUAAAUGUUGUAUAAUAAGAAAAAUACUGCAUACAACCAUAUUUUAGACAUACAACCUUUUAAUGAUGUAAUCUAGACAUAUGCAUGCAUACAUGGUACAAAGAAAAGCAAUUUUCCCUCGAUGUAAUACUCCAAUCUAAUGGUAGACGGUGCUUGGAGAGCAAAAGUUCAUUCGGAACAUAAUUUAUUAACAAAAAAGGAAACAUAAACAUACAGUAGCAGUAGUUUCAAAAAACAACCAUCACAUAUGGUUUAAUGCCUUCCUGCAAGGGCCAGAAUUUUGAGACAACGCUUGAUAAGAACUCAAUAUCUUAAUUUAGCAUAUGGUAAGUUCAGAACUCAAUUUGUUUCUGGAUGUGGUGGAACUUCUUGUGAUCCACCUUCUUUAGUCAGAGCUAGUAUCUUGACUCGAGUGCAACACAUCAUGUAAUAUCUUGAAAUAGGCAUGGCAUUAGACAACUUCAAUCAGGAUGGGCUGAUGGACCAGCAUAUCAUGUGACUCAGUGCCCUAUCCAAACAGGUCAAAGCUAUGUUUACAAUUACACCAUUAAAGGCCAAAGAGGAACACUCUUUUGGCAUGCUCAUAUACCUUGGUUAAGGUCAACACUCUAUGGACCUCUCAUCAUUCUUCCCAAGAAAAAUGUUCCAUAUCCUUUUGCAAAACCCCACAAGGAAGUUCCC